rnacentral:misc_RNA from 1 species
AAGGAAGCAAAAAAAGCUGCAGCUUUGGCUGCUGGAGCUGACUGGAAAAGUGACGAUUCGGACAGUGAGUUUCCUGAGGAGCACGUAUACCGGGAGCCUCCACUACCAGAUCUUCUAAAAGACGAGGAACACCUGUGCCUUAUUGUAGAUCUCUGCAAGGCUUUAAUAUCCUUGCAAAGGUAUUGGGAUGCACUUGAGAUCAUUAAUCUGUGUCUAAAAUUGGCAUCCAGCACAUUGUCUGUUGAGG